CCCGCGCCGGAAGCUCAGCUGACCGGGUCCCGCGGCCGUGUGGUCACAGAGCGCGCGCACUGCCCUGCGGACCGGAGGGACAGGCCAGGCUGCCUCCCAGGGCCUCAAGGAUGGAGUCCGGGUUCCUCCCACCCACUGAGGCCUCAGGCAUCUCGCUGCUGCCAUCACCCUGGUACCCCCUACACAGCUGCGCCCCCAGACCUGGCCCCGAGGGACUCAGUCCUCCCCUCCCAGAGCAUCCACCACACGGGACUGCGCGUUCCUGCACCGGGGUCCUCCCUGGGCCACAAGCUCCGUGAGGGCACGGACUCCAGUGCCCGUGCCUUCGCGUUCCCUCCCAGAGCAUAACGCCCGGCUCGUAAGAAGGACUUGAAAAGAAUCGUUGAGCGAAGGAAAAGCCAAGAAACUGAAUUCAGGGGCGCCUAGUGGCGCAGUCGGUAAAGCGGCUGACUCUGGAUUUCCACUUAAGUCACGAUCUCACGAUUCAUGGGUUCAAGCCCCAUAUGGGGCUCUGUGCUGACGGUGCGGAGCCUGCUUGGGAUUCUCUCUCUCUCUGUCCCUCCCCUGCACUCGCGCUCGCUCUCCCUCAAAAUAAAUAAGCUUAAAAAAAGAAAAGAA